rnacentral:rRNA from 1 species
UACACUCCUGCGGGAGGCAGCAGUGGGGAAUUUUGGACAAUGGGCGAAAGCCUGAUCCAGCCAUGCCGCGUGCAGGAUGAAGGCCUUCGGGUUGUAAACUGCUUUUGUACGGAACGAAACGGCCUUUUCUAAUAAAGAGGGCUAAUGACGGUACCGUAAGAAUAAGCACCGGCUAACUACGUGCCAGCAGCCGCGGUAAUACGUAGGGUGCAAGCGUUAAUCGGAAUUACUGGGCGUAAAGCGUGCGCAGGCGGUUAUGUAAGACAGUUGUGAAAUCCCCGGGCUCAACCUGGGAACUGCAUCUGUGACUGCAUAGCUAGAGUACGGUAGAGGGGGAUGGAAUUCCGCGUGUAGCAGUGAAAUGCGUAGAUAUGCGGAGGAACACCGAUGGCGAAGGCAAUCCCCUGGACCUGUACUGACGCUCAUGCACGAAAGCGUGGGGAGCAAACAGGAUUAGAAACCCGAGUAGUCCC